rnacentral:tRNA from 1 species
UGGGAAAUAGUGAAAUGGCAUCACGCCGCUCUCUGAAAGCGUAAUCCCCAGUUCGACCCUGGGUUUCCCAACCA